ensembl:lncRNA
UCGGCACCCGCCGGCAGGCCGAGCGCUGACGUCCCGCCCUCCCGGAGGGGCUGGGCGCCCGAUCCCUCCUUCCCCUAGCUCCAGGCACCCGGCAGAAGUGCUCGGGAGCUGUUCCUCGAUGCGGCUGCACGGCGUCCCGAUGUAUCAUGGAAGCAGCUUAAGACGGGAGUGGGAAGGGCAGAAACAUGCUCCAGACACAUCAACCAACAUAAACUCUUGAAAUUUUGCUAUAGGAUUGAUCUGAGAUGGGCUUUUUGACAGUUCCUGCCAAUGAGAGGGAAGUAUAGUCAGCCAGGGGCUUCUGGGAAAGAUGGUAUGGAAGAUCUCUUUUGCCCUUUCUUUCCUGCCUGUAACACUGCUGUAUGAGGUACAAUGUUGGAGCUGCCUCAGCCAUCUGGUGAUUUGAAGGGAGACUGAGGAUGACUGAGCAGAAAGAAAGAAAGAGACACUGCACCAUGCCGGGAUUGUCUUCAUGCAGACUGUCGGGUCUUCAGAGAUGAUUAAGAUGAAGUCAUCGGGUGGGCCCUAAUCCAAUAGGACUGUGUGUUUAUAAAAUGGGGAGAUUUGGACACAGAAACACACACACACACACACUGGGAGAACGCCAUGUGAAGAUGAAGGCAGAGAUUGGACUGAUGCUUCUACAAACCAAGGAACGCCAAAGACUGCCAGCAAACCACCAGGAGCUAGGAGAGAGGCGUGGAACAAAGGCUCCCUCACAGCUGUCAAGAGAACCAGGCUGCCAACACCCUGAUCUUGGACUUCUAACCCCAGAGCUGUGAUACAACAAAUAGCUGUUGUUUAAGCCACACAGUUUGUGGUACUUUCUUGUCGCAGUCCUACAGACUAAAAUACCAGGUAGUCAAGAAGUAGAAACUCAGCAGAUAGAAUAAAUAACUCAGCAGUCUUAAAUUUUUGACUUGGGAGAACCCAUUAUGUUUGUUUAUUAAUAACAUUAAUUUCAGUCUUUUUUCAAAAAAAUUUUUUAUUGUGGUCUAAAUAGUUUAUAACAUUGUGAAAUUUCAGCAAUACAUUAAUAUUUGUCAAACACCAUAUAAGUGUGCCCCUGCACUCCUUGUGCCCACCUUCCCCCUCCUUUCCUCUGGUAACCACUAAAUUGUUCUCUUUGUCUGAAGGUUGUUUAUAUCCCACAUGUGAGUGAAAUCAUACGGUGUUUGUCUUUCUCUAUCUGGCUUAUUUUGCUUGACAUGAUGCCCUCAAGGUCCAUCCAUGUGGCUGUGAAUGGGACAAUUAUGUCUUUUCUUAUGGCUGAGUAGUAUUCCAUUGUAUAUAUAUACACACACCACAUCUUCUUUACCCACUGGGCACUUGGGUUGCUGCCACAUCUUGGCUAUUGUGAAUAAUGCUGCAAUGAACAUAGGGGUACAUAAGUCUCUUUGUAUUAGUGAUUUCAAGUUCUUUGGAUAAAUACCCAGUAGUGGGAUAGCUGGGUCAUAUGGUAAUUCUGCUUUUAAUUUUUUGAGAAAUCUCCAUACUGUUUUCCACAGUGGCUGCACCAGUUUGCAUUCUCACCAGCAGUGGAUGAGGGUUCUCUUUUCUUCACAACCUCUCCAACAUUUAUUGUUUUUUGUCUUGAUGAUUAUAGCCAUUCUAAAUGGGUGUAUGGUGAUAUCUAAGUGUAGUUUUGAUUUGCAUCCCCUGAUGAUUAGUGAUCUUUUCAUGUGCCUAUAGCCAUUUGUAUAUCUUCUUUGGAAAAAUGUCUGUUCAUAUCCUCUGCCCACUUUUUGAUUGGGUUGUUUAUUCUUUUGUAGUUCAAUUGUGUUAGUUGUUUAUGUAUAGUGGAGAUUAACCCUUUAUUGGAUUUAUGAUUAGCAAAUAUUUUCUCC